GAUGAAGAACGCAGCGGAAUGCGAUAAGUAAUGUGAAUUGCAGAAUUCAGUGAAUCAUCGAAUCUUUGAACGCACAUUGCGCCCGCCAGUAUUCUGGCGGGCAUGCCUGUUCGAGCGUCAUUUCAACCCUCAAGCCCCCGGGCUUGGUGUUGGGGAUCGGCGUGCCCUCGCGGCGCGCCGUCCCAUAAAUCUAGUGGCGGUCUCGCUGUAGCUUCCUCUGCGUAGUAGCAACACUCGCACUGGAUCGCAGCGCGGCCACGCCGUUAAACCCCCCACUUCUGAAAGUUUGACCUCGGAUCAGGUAGGAAUACCCGCUGAACUUAAGCAUAUCAAUAAGCGGAGGA
rnacentral:misc_RNA from 1 species